AGCAGUGGUUCCAUUUCUAGAUUGUGGAUUUUCAAAUAAAUUCUGCCAUUUUCAUUUCACUUCCUGAAAGUUAGGGUCGGCUCGUGAAAAGUUGUUAAACAACAUGCUAAAUGUGAAAUGUCAAUGAUCUGAAGAGC